rnacentral:rRNA from 1 species
GAUGAACGCUGGCGGCGUGCCUAAUACAUGCAAGUCGAGCGAACAGACGAGGAGCUUGCUCCUCUGACGUUAGCGGCGGACGGGUGAGUAACACGUGGAUAACCUACCUAUAAGACUGGGAUAACUUCGGGAAACCGGAGCUAAUACCGGAUAAUAUAUUGAACCGCAUGGUUCAAUAGUGAAAGACGGUUUUGCUGUCACUUAUAGAUGGAUCCGCGCCGCAUUAGCUAGUUGGUAAGGUAACGGCUUACCAAGGCAACGAUGCGUAGCCGACCUGAGAGGGUGAUCCGCCACACUGGAACUGAGACACGGUCCAGACUCCUACGGGAGGCAGCGGUAGGGAAUCUUCCGCAAUGGGCGAAAGCCUGACGGAGCAACGCCGCGUGAGUGAUGAAGGUCUUCGGAUCGUAAAACUCUGUUAUUAGGGAAGAACAAAUGUGUAAGUAACUAUGCACGUCUUGACGGUACCUAAUCAGAAAGCCACGGCUAACUACGUG